rnacentral:rRNA from 1 species
UACGAAGGGGGCUAGCGUUGCUCGGAAUUACUGGGCGUAAAGGGCGCGUAGGCGGCACUGUUAGUCAGGCGUGAAAGUCCUGGGCUCAACCUGGGAACUGCGCUUGAUACGGCAGAGCUAGAGGAUGGAAGAGGGUCGCGGAAUUCCCAGUGUAGCGGUGAAAUGCGUAGAGAUCGGGAGGAAGGCCGGUGGCGAAGGCGGCGC